UACGUAGGGGGCAAGCGUUGUCCGGAAUUAUUGGGCGUAAAGGGCGCGUAGGCGGUCAGCACAAGUCAGUUGUGAAAUCUCCGAGCUUAACUCGGAACGGUCAACUGAUACUGUGCGACUAGAGUGCGGAAGGGGCAACUGGAAUUCUCGGUGUAGCGGUGAAAUGCGUAGAUAUCGAGAGGAACACCUGCGGCGAAGGCGGGUUGCUGGGCCGACACUGACGCUGAGGAGCGAAAGCGUGGGGAGCAAACAGG
rnacentral:rRNA from 1 species